rnacentral:lncRNA from 10 species
CCUGGCAUGACUGCUUCUAACAGCGACCAUUUCAUUAAGUUUUUAAGUGCCUGGUAAUUGCUUGGUUAUGACCGGUGUCUGCUCCAUGGCAGCCUCUUCCUGAAGAAAUGCUGAGGCAGUGUCACGCUGGUGUCUGUCCUCCUUACAGAAUGCCUGAACAGUUCCAUUGACUCAAAGUGAAGAUCAAAAGAACCAAAUGACAGCAAUAGCCAAGUGUAAUCAUCAGUAACCCUGUGUUCUAUCCACAGGCUGGAAUGCAGUGCCAUCAUCAUAGCUACUGCAGCCUUGAACUCCUGGGCAGAAGCAAUUUUCCCACCUCAGCCUGCCAAGUAGCUAGGACUACAGGUGUGUGCCACCAUGCCCAGCUGUUUUUUAAAAUUUUUUGUGGAGAUGUGAACUCACUAAGCUUCCGAGGCUUUUCUUGAACUCCUGACUUCAAGUAAUCCUCCCACCUUGGCUUGUCAAAGUCCUGGGAUUACAGGUGUGAGCUCCUGCUCCUGGUCAAGAAUUUAGUUUUGUUUGCUAGUGGUGUUCUUGGUAUCUUUUCAUAUUUGAGGCUUUGGUGCUAGUGCUGAAGUAUUACACUCACCAUCCAAGGUUCACAGGAC